rnacentral:rRNA from 1 species
UACGUAGGGCGCGAGCGUUGUCCGGAAUUAUUGGGCGUAAAGAGCGUGUAGGCGGCCACACAGGUCUGCUGUGAAAACUCGAGGCUCAACCUCGAGCUGUCGGUGGAAACCGUGUGGCUAGAGUCCGGAAGAGGAGAGUGGAAUUCCCGGUGUAGCGGUGAAAUGCGCAGAUAUCGGGAAGAACACCCGUGGCGAAGGCGGCUCUCUGGGACGGUACUGACGCUGAGACGCGAAAGCGUGGGGAGCGAACAGG